UCCCUUUCUUCCUUUCAUCUCUUUCUUUUUUUUCUCUCUCUCUCUCUCUCCUUUCUGCAUCAAUAAUAGUCACCCCAUGCGCAGGGUCUCUCAACUCGAUUUUCUCCUACAAAGUGCGUCGACAGACGUAAAAUUCGCAUGACCGAAUUAUACGUAUUUACAAUACGUUCAAUAGAAGUAACGCAAGUUAUUUUUCCAACGAUUCUCGGAAACACUUUGCGGGAAGUGAACUGGCAUAUAGUGCUCACGUGUUGACGCAUUAAUUACACGUAGCUUUCUUGAUUGUUUUGUGGAAAACAUCACGUAAUUUUCAUAAGCCAGAUAUCAAUACGAACAACGAGUAGUGAGAAAAUGCUUCGCAGCGAUGACGACACGCAAUCUCCGUCAAACACGAAAAGUAAGAACGGAACUAUAUGUAUAAAAGUCAGGAUUAGAAAAACAAAGGAGAGCAACUUCUGUAAGAUGAGUCUGCGUUGUCGCUUUAUAUGCGAUCUGAAUAAGAUGGUACGCGUCUCUACGAAUAUUAAAGACAUUAGAGGCGCAAGACGGAGACACAAAUCGAUUCGAAACUCGACGAGAGACGAAUUCUUAGAAAGCUGUACUGUAAAAUUGUAAAUGUGAACGAAAGAUUCGACAUUUAUAUGAUAUUUUUCUUGAUGUUCCUUUGAUUGUCGUAAAUGUAUUAAUUUCUGAACUCUCAUUUUAUCUGCUUCCAAUUAAGGAGGAUUUACCUUUUUAUUUAAAAAAAAGUAGAUUAAUUUCUAAACAUUUUACACAUAAAAAAAUAGGUCGAGCAGACUGUACGAUUAAUAAAAUACUAAUUGAGUUUUUAAUUGAUAUAAUAUUAACAUGUUUUUAAAUUUUUAAUCGAUUUGAAAUACACUGAGACAUAAAAAAGAAAAUAAAUAAUUGCAAGUUAUGUGAAGUUGUGGCAAAUAGCUUGAAAAAUAUAUUAAAUCGACUCUUAUCAUCUUUCUUAAUUUCAGACAUUUUCAAUCAAAGCUACAAAAGAGAUUGGCUCUUCCUGAUCGUAACUACGAUCCAAAAGAAGAUUAUUAAAACAACAGAAAAUCAUCAAAAGUGCAAAAUAAAAAUCGCGUAAAAAAAGCGAUCUUCAGUGCAUCGAACUAAUGACGAGAAAGACGCACGAAAUCUCAAAUGGGAAUCGAUAAUUGUGUUUCGUCUUAAUGAACUUUCCUUUCGGGUCCACUUAAAACAAUUAAAAUUAGCGCGCAAGGGAUGAAGGGGAGGGAGGGGCGCACAGAAUAAAUCGAAAUCUACACGACGAAAGGCUAAUACAAUUGUGAGACGCGACGGACACGGGACGGGGCUCGCUCAUCCGCGGCCGGGAACGAAAGGAAUGAAAAUUGGCGAACCUUUGAACUUUCUGUAUAUCCGUUCGCUCAGUUACACGCUCCUCGCACACUUUGUUUCGCCUUCCUCUUUCCCCGUUCGCGCGCGCGUACGCCUACUCCACCCCGACCGCGCGAGAUCGCACGUAUAUAUAUAUAUAUACAUAUAUAUAUGCGUACGUACAUACGGGUACGCCGAAACGCCAAGAUCGCCGCAUUUAUUUCGAACCGCAACCGCUAUCGAUCCCUCUGCAUUCUAUUUAUUGUUGGCGGCAGCCAACGAGAGAAAACGUACCCGCGGAAUCAGCGUGACGCAUCGCACGCUCGCCGGCCGACAGGUCGAUCGUUCGCUGUCCCACGAGCAACGGCCGCGGAGAGCGGAUUUUCUUUCGCGCGUGGAUUUCCCCGAAUAGCACGGAUUGAAAUUUCAGACGAUAAGGGGAACGAACGGACGGCCGGACGGACGGCGCGGCGCGGUGUUUUCUCCGACGCCAGGCGACCAGCGUUCCUCUCACGGUUAUAAAUUCAAUCCUUUAAGUGAUUCUUUAGAUUCAAUCGGUCGCCGGAAGUCCCUCGGGGACGAUAGACGGUAAGGAGAGAGAAUGAUUCUUUCUCUUUUCCUUUCUUUUCUCCUUUCCUCGUGAUUUCAGUGUGUAGUAAACGAAAAAAUACGAUUCUAUCAGAGGUGCAAAAGGGACCGAUCUUUUCAAUUUAUAAUUACGAUCCGAAAGUUUACUUUUAAAAAAUGUAGCUAAAUAUAAUUAAAAUAUAAUCAUACAAAACAUACACACACACAAAGUUCCGAUUCUCGAGAUUGUAACCUCGUGCCAAUUUGUUUAUCGAGGCUUUUACUAGGAUUUACCAUGGAUGAUAGUAGAAGAUUAACGUGAAAAAAUACAUCUUGUGAAAAAUACACUUGACGCGAGACGCUGCCGCGUUUCUUGAUAUAAUUAAAUAUAUGUGCAUUAUAUAGAGCUAGAAUUUUUUUCAGCCUACGUGAUAGGUGGAAAGGAGAGAGAGUUGAGGAAUCGCGACACGCCGCCGGGACAAACGCGAGAUGAAGGAGCGAGUGAAGGAGGAGGAGGAGGAGGAGGAGGAGGAGGAGGAGGAGGAGGGGAAGGGAGAGAAACUCACCUCGUGCGAGCGCUGUCAACAACAAAGCCAACAGGACGCGGGCGAGAGGACGCGGCUCCAUUGGGUCGGAAGCAGAGAUCUGACAGACGCACAGACUCCGACGCGCGGGAGACGCCGCCGGUAGUAGGGGAGCCUACCGAGGUAGCCCUCCGUCCGAGAUCACCACCGUCUCCGAGGACGAGCACCACCGCCGUUACACACGCGCGCGAUGUCCCGCCGAUGAUGCGGCGGGCGCAUGCCACUCUCACGUCGCCCUCGAGCACCAAGGCCAGUCUCGCGUCUUCAAGACCGUCGUCGCGACCGUUUACACGACAGAUCGGCUCUCACGCCCGCGGGACGCAUUUUCGCAUGACAGGCUCACUGACCGUACUCGUCGACCGUAAAACAUGGCUAACGGACGGAGCAGCGUCCGGGAUACGCCAGUGAUGCCAGUCCCCCCAACGAACGAGAAUGGUCGCGCACGCGCGCUAAUCUUAGAAAUCUGGAGAGCGGUCAUGUCCGCGCAUUUUAGGUGUUUCCGUCCAUCAGCGCCUCCAUGUGCAUUUUGAACUACGUAGCCAAUGUCCACGAAGGUCUGUAGAUAAUGUGGUAAUUAUUUAACAUCACCUCAAAUAUCGAGAGAGAUGUAAUUAUACUCAUUCAACACUAAAUAAUUAUUGGAGUGGAUUCUUAUUCAUGACCGCCAUUUGUAAAGCAAUAGCUGCGCUUAGUAGAAUUAUUCGCAGUAUAAUUGUCUAUUAUUUUAUUUGAUUUUAUACAAUCUUGACUUUUUAAAGAAAUUUUAUAUAACGUUUAAAUAUAUAAUCAAAAUAGGGCUCAUAAAAAACUUAUAUAAAUCAGAUUUUUAUACUUUAAUAAUUGUUUGAAAAAAGAUAUAUUUGACACGCAUGUGCGAGAAAAAGCGACCCGUCUAAUGCUCGGUCUACAAUGUCAGUAGGAGUAAUGGAGUAAGGAGUAAGAGUAACAAUUAACCAAUUAAAAAACCGGGAGUAAACGAAAUGGGCAAAUCUCAUUUCAUAUUUCUUACUUCUUAUUCCUACUCCAUUACUCUUGCUGACAUUGUAGACCGAGCAUCACAACACUGAUCAUACACACUUUCCACAAGACGUAAAAAAACAAUAAGGUUUCAACGCAUUGGAUUGGGUAUCAUAAUCGUAAUCGACUGAAUACAGUACGUGAUUGGUUGAAAUCUUAUUGUUGUUUUACGGAAAGUAUGUGAUGGCCUAAUACAACCUGCUGUCUGGUUACAAGACUUACAACAGUUUACGCUACUAGAAGCGCAAUGCUAAGUUACGUUUUCUACCGAAUGCAACCAGAGUCACAGUACAAAUUAUAGAGCAUCAGUUGUCAUUGCACGUGUUUGUUGCUCCGAUUUGUGAUUAUUAAGUCAAACUGAAAAAGCAUUGAAAAGAAUUGAAGUCUCUUUUAUUGCGUGCAUCGUAUUAUUACGUAUUUUGUCAGUAGGAAACAGAAAAUAUCCAAGUUGAAAGCAAUAAAACAGAAAAUUAUAUGAUGGAAGAAAGCUCAAAGAAAGUAGAACACACAGAGACAGAUAAAUUGAAAUUUAAAUAUUUGCAAAGAAAUUUGAAUUUAGUUAAAUUGCCUUCGUCGAAUUGGGGAUUUUCAAAGGGAAACGAUACAUUUUUCGGUUUUAUGAAAGUAGAGAGUAAUUUCAGUGUCAGAAAAAGAAUCGCUGUGUUUCCAAACUUACGUAUUAAUAUUUAUAUUGAUGAUAGAAUUAUGCCCUUUUCAAAACAUAUUAAGGUAACAAGUAUUGAUGAAAUUAGCGAAAUUUUAAAAACUCUGGAUUCAAUUUCAUUCACAUUCUAUUAAAUGUACUUAUAUAUAUUUACAAUUAAUUCCAAAUAUUUAAUUUAUUUUUUUACAAUAAAUUAUAUAAAUAGAAAAAAAAAUAAAGUUAGAAGUUUAUGGUUUA